GAUGAACGCUGGCGGCGUGCUUAACACAUGCAAGUCGAACGAUGAAGCCCAGCUUGCUGGGUGGAUUAGUGGCGAACGGGUGAGUAACACGUGAGUAACCUGCCCUUAACUCUGGGAUAAGCCUGGGAAACUGGGUCUAAUACCGGAUAGGAGCGUCCACCGCAUGGUGGGUGUUGGAAAGAUUUAUCGGUUUUGGAUGGACUCGCGGCCUAUCAGCUUGUUGGUGAGGUAAUGGCUCACCAAGGCGACGACGGGUAGCCGGCCUGAGGGGGUGACCGGCCACACGGGGACUGAGACACGGCCCAGACUCCUACGGGGGGAAGCAGGGGGGAAUAUUGCACAAGGGGCGCAAGCCUGAUGCAGCGACGCCGCGUGGGGGAGGACGGCCUUCGGGUUAUAAACCUCUUUCAGUAGGGAGAAGCGAAAGUGACGGUACCUGCAGAAGAAGCACCGGCUAACUACGUG
rnacentral:rRNA from 1 species